rnacentral:misc_RNA from 1 species
GAUGAAGAACGUAGCGAAAUGUGAUAAGUAAUGCGAAUUGCAGAAUUCCAGUGAGUCAUCGAAUCUUUGAACGCACAUUGCGCCCUUUGGUAUUCCGAAGGGCAUGCCUGUUCGAGCGUCAUUAUCACCCCUCAAGCCCUCGGCUUGGUGUUGGACGGUUUGGUGGAGGCCCCCUCGGGGGCUCCUGCCCCUCCCAAAGACAAUGACGGCGGCCUCGUUGGACCCCCGGUACACUGAGUUCUUCACGGGACACGUAUCGGACACAUGGGUUUACGGGACACGGUCUGCCUCCCCUCAGGGAGAAUCUUUCUAAGGUUGACCUCGGAUCAGGUAGGGAUACCCGCUGAACUUAAGCAUAUCAAUAAGCGGAGGA